rnacentral:rRNA from 1 species
UAAGACGUAGGAUGCGAGCGUUGUCCGGAUUUAUUGGGCGUAAAGAGUUCGUAGGUGGUUCACUAAGUUUGGUGUAAAAGACGGGGGCUCAACCCUCGGAUCGCACUGAAUACUGGUGGACUGGAGUGAGGUAGAGGCAAGCGGAAUUCCCAGUGUAGCGGUGAAAUGCGUAGAUAUUGGGAAGAACACCGGUGGCGCAAGCGGCUUGCUGGGCCUUAACUGACGCUGAGGAACGAAAGCUAGGGGAGCGAAUGGGAUUAGAUACCCCAGUAGUCCUAGCUGUAAACGAUGGAUACUAGACGUAUCGGGUAUCGACCCCUGAUGUGUCGUAGCAAACGCGAUAAGUAUCCCGCCUGAGUAGUACGGCCGCAAGGUUG